AUUGAACGCUGGCGGAAUGCUUUACACAUGCAAGUCGAACGGUAGAGGGGGCAACCCCUCGAGAGUGGCGAACGGGUGAGUAAUAUAUCGGAACGUGCCCAGUCGUGGGGGAUAACGUAGCGAAAGUUACGCUAAUACCGCAUACGAUCUAAGGAUGAAAGCGGGGGAACGCAAGACCUCGCGCGAUUGGGGCGGCCGAUAUCCGGUUAGGUAGUUGGUGGGGUAAAGGCUCACCAAGCCAACGAUCUGUAGCUGGUCUGAGAGGACGACCAGCCACACUGGAACUGAGACACGGUCCAGACUCCUACGGGAGGCAGCAGUGGGGAAUUUUGGACAAUGGACGCAAGUCUGAUCCAGCCAUUCCGCGUGCAGGAUGAAGGCCCUCGGGUUGUAAACUGCUUUUGUACGGAACGAAAAGGUCUCUCUUAAUACGGGGGACUCAUGACGGUACCGUAAGAAUAAGCACCGGCUAACUACGUGCCAGCCGCCGCAGUAA
rnacentral:rRNA from 1 species